rnacentral:lncRNA from 1 species
GCAAAACAUUCCUUUCUACGUAAAGGCCGAAGAGGAACCUGGAACGUUCAGCUUCAGCGUGGGAAGAGAUCCUACAGUUAGGGAAGGCCGCUACUACUACACAGACUACAAGACCUGCGUCGUAUUGGACAUGGAAUAUCACGGACAUCAAUGCAUUCUGUGGACACAGAAAGAAGUAAAAGACGCGGUGCCGCAGGACUGCAUUGACCAGUUUGUCGACACGUGUGGCGUCAUUGUUCCCGAGCACAGCCGAGACCUCUGCCCAGAUGGUGAAGGCGACUACUAGGUGCACUCCGGCGUCUAAUUUUUAACCAUGCUAUAUACAUCAAAAUGUAAGUGUAAUCUUGCGACAUAAAUAAAGUUUUUCG